AUCGACACAAAAGAAACAAAUACCUAACCUAUACCUUGUAACUAUAUAAUAUUGCGUUUGACCAAUUUCUCCGGACCGUUUUCUUUAAAAAUGACAAAAACUUUCAGUAUACAGGUGGUGUGGUACGUUAGUAGAAAUGACAUUGCCCGUGACUUGGCGCGUUUACCUCCCGCGAUCCGUGAACCUAUUGAAUUACAUCGGCGAACACGACAGAGGGGGAAAGAUCAUAAAGGUGUUACACAUUGCUUACUUCGAUGAAAGCGAUUUAAAUUACCG